rnacentral:rRNA from 1 species
AUUGAACGCUGGCGGCAGGCCUAACACAUGCAAGUCGAGCGGAUGAGGAAAGCUUGCUUUUCGAUUCAGCGGCGGACGGGUGAGUAAUGCCUAGGAAUCUGCCUGUUAGUGGGGGAUAACUCGGGGAAACUCGGGCUAAUACCGCAUACGUCCUACGGGAGAAAGUGGGGGAUCUUCGGACCUCACGCUAACAGAUGAGCCUAGGUCGGAUUAGCAAGUAGGUGAGGUAAUGGCUCACCUAGGCGACGAUCCGUAACUGGUCUGAGAGGAUGAUCAGUCACACUGGAACUGAGACACGGGCCAGACUCCUACGGGAGGCAGCAGUGGGGAAUAUUGGACAAUGGGCGAAAGCCUGAUCCAGCCAUGCCGCGUGUGUGAAGAAGGUCUUCGGAUUGUAAAGCACUUUAAGUUGGGAGGAAGGGUAUUCACCUAAUACGUGGGUACUUUGACGUUACCAACAGAAUAAGCACCGGCUAACUCUGUGCCAGCAGCCGCAGUAACAC